AUCAAAACGACCCCCAACUGCGUCUUCUUCCUCGUGAGAAUGAAAACCAGUAAAUGGCGAACGACACCCAAAAACUUUCAACCUAAAUCGAGCCUAGUCCAGCAGUGAUCCGACCCCAAUGUCCAAUAUUUGAAAAUCAUCCAGGUGUCUCAAUCUUACACCUCCUUCGUCCUUCACUCUCAAUACAGCGACUCAAAUCGUUUUUCCGUUGAAGAAUGGUACAAUUCCAAUUUCUCAACCUUAUCCUUCGGAAGCAUUCAAAUUUCAAAUUCGAAAUGCAAUCCCAUUUUCCCCCUUUUUUCCAAAUCUUCCUCUUAUAAAUACCCAUCUCUUUUACUGUUAAAGGGGAUUUCUUUUGUUUGGAGGAGAUGAUUUUUUUUGACACAAAAUUUACUAUCUAGAAUAGAAGAGAAUUUUCACAAAAAGAAAUAGACUAAGAGAUCAAAAUCUCCAAAAAAUAGCUAUAUGAAAAAUACAUUAAGAGAUCACAAGCUUAGUGAUUUUCUCAUUCAAAUUCAUCGGAGCUCGUUGGAAUCUGGUGAAGUUCCGUUUGUGGUGAAGUCACGUUCUUCCCCUUGUCGGCUCAGUUCGCUUCCUGGAGCAAGUGUGGUAGAAUUCAGAAGUCGUUUAGAAAGGAAGGAUAAGCUUCAGUCUACCGCGCAUGAUCGACUCAAUGGUAUACUACGACAUCUUUUUUAACUGGGUUAAGCAUGAAUGUUUGAGUUCAUGAGAUUAGUGUGAAUUUGGGGAAGGGACCAGAGGUGAGAGUGAGAACUUGGCGUACUUGACCGGCUUGUCUCCUUAUGGACCUGUCAAGAAGUUGAUCAAGAAGUCACAAGUCAUUUAACCAAGACUUUGUAACCUGUAGAAUCACAUCAGGAUGCAUCAUCAUCAAGGAUAAUAAGACUUAAAGAUAAAUCCACACGAGCACUAGCAAGAGGGCCUGUGAUAUUAAGAGAGAGCAAUCCAGUCAUCCCUAGAAGGCCUUAUAGAUCCGCACGAUUGAGAGAUAUUAACGACCCCAAGGUCAUAGAGGAAAAGAGGAAGAGAACAAAAAAAAAAAUGUGCACAUCUUCCAAGAGAAAGAAAUAUUCUCCAUUAGUGUCUUGAAAAAAUUCUCUAGAUUACAGAGCUAUAA